rnacentral:rRNA from 1 species
AACGAACGCUGGCGGCAUGCCUAACACAUGCAAGUCGAGCGAGACCUUCGGGUCUAGUGGCGCACGGGUGCGUAACGCGUGGGAAUCUGCCCUUAGGUACGGAAUAACUCAGGGAAACUUGAGCUAAUACCGUAUAAUGACUCCGGUCCAAAGAUUUAUCGCCUAAGGAUGAGCCCGCGUCGGAUUAGCUAGUUGGUGAGGUAAAAGCUCACCAAGGCGACGAUCCGUAGCNGGUCUGAGAGGAUGAUCAGCCACACUGGGACUGAGACACGGCCCAGACUCCUACGGGAGGCAGCAGUGGGGAAUAUUGGACAAUGGGCGAAAGCCUGAUCCAGCAAUGCCGCGUGAGUGAUGAAGGCCUUAGGGUUGUAAAGCUCUUUUACCCGGGAUGAUAAUGACAGUACCGGGAGAAUAAGCCCCGGCUAACUCCGUGCCAGCCGCCGCUGUAAG